AAGAGCGUGAAUCUAUUAUUGGGCUGAGCUGCCAUUCUCUCCAACAUUCUACAUGAAUUGCCUUUGUAAAUUUUACUUUGAAACAAGGAGAAAAUGAAUUGGUCAGAUGAAACAAAAAAACCCUGCAAAAUCUGGAAAUAUGAUCCAAAAGCUGAAAAUGUUGGCAGUACACAGCAGAUCAGUCAAGGUUGGGGGAAGGAUUCCGUACCCACCAUUUAACACAAACUUUUGUCCUUCCAAAAGCUGAGAGAGACUUGCUGUUCAACUGUGCGGUUGUCCAUGGUCGGUGCGAGCAGUGAGCUUUAACACAAAGGAUAUAAAAAUGCAUCGUCUCACACACGCUGGGAAUAAAAUCUCGAGCUGUGAUUUGCAGGGGAGAACGAAAGCUGUCUCUUAUGCGAAAGGUGGAGGGACCUCGCUGAAUGAGGUGACCAGAAUUGUAUGCAGCACUCCAAAAGUGGCCCUACCAACGUCUUGUACAGCUGUAAGAAGAUGCCUCAACUCCUGUACUCAAUGCUCUGACCAAUGAUGGCAUGUGUGCCAAACACCUUCUUCACGUUCAACACUACUUUCAAGAAACUAUGUACCUGCAAUCCUAGUUCUCACUGUUCAACAACACUCCUCAGGGUCUGACCAUUAACUUUACAAGACAUGCCCUGGUUUGUCUUGCCAAAAUGCAACACCUCACAUUUAUCUGCAUUAAACUUCAUCUGCCAUUCCUCAGUCCACUGACCUGGGUGAUGGAAAUUCCAUUGUACUAAAAAUUUUUUUCACUGUUAAUUUCUCCCACCAAUGUUGGUGUCAUUCACAAACGUAUGAGCUAUGCCUCCUUUAUUCUCUUCCAAAUCAUUUAUGUAAAUGAUGAAUAACAAUGGACCUACUGUCAGCACUGACCAAUGAUAAAUGGUGCAACCAAGAGAAUAUAAAUCAAUAUGAUUCAUACAAUAGACUUUUCAGUUCAGGUGACAUUUCCAAAUUGGAUCAAAAACUUAAUCAGGGCAAUUCUUCCUAGUUGACAUUGUGAGACAAAGACGUUUUUAUGCAUGGAAAUGCAAACGUGAUUUUGAAACCUAAUAUUAGUUGGAUACAGAAGCACAUAUGUGAAAUCUAGAUUGUAAGGUUGCUUUCAGAGUUACACAUAUAUCAUAUAGAACAAACUUUAUUGAAUACACUCUUGGUUGGUAAAGGAGACAAAUGGCUUUUGCCAGAUCAGAGAUCACAAGCAUUGAAAAUCUCUCUUGAGCAGGUCUGUCAAACCACUUGCAAGAUUUUACAAUAAAUGAUGUAUUGACAGCAUUUGUCACUAACAUUGAAUUAUGCAUCUACACACUCCAAUCCCAUGGUGAGAAUUUCAGUCUGAAGUCUCCUGCCAUCAGCACAAUGGUUCCAACAAAGGUCAGACAUGGGCACAGCUUAAGAAAUGUUGGAAUAAAGGGUGGAGCCAGAUUUAGAAUUCACUGUACAAAAUUUAAACAUACUUAUAAACAGUGUAAUCAUUUUGAUCAGAAACAUUUAAACACAUUUUGAGGAAGUCAGAGACCAUUUAAAAAUGUCAAAUAUAUUGAACUAUUUAAAAAGUCUGAUUAAUUAUACUUCAGAAUGCAUAAAUGAUACCUUUUACAAGAUAUAGAGGUGCGGGUGUUAGGCUGGGGUGGACCAAGUCAGAAAUCAUAUGUCAACAGAUUAUAGUACAACAGUUUAAUUUGAAAUCACAAGCUUUAGGAGCUCAGCCCCUUCAUCAGGGGAAGUCAAGAUUUGUCAGGCUUUUAUAAGGUUUCGUAUUGACCUUUUAAACAAGAUUUAUCUGAUCUGUUUACAAGUUAUCCUGAACAUUUUAUUUUCUUUUUACUAAUUUAUUUCAAUGAGCUGAAACAUUAUACUUUUUUAUUUCUUUACUUUUCUUAUGACUUUUACUCAAAGUUUGUUCUUAAGAAUCUGUACCUAGGUAACUUUGUAUCAUAAUGUGGCAACUUGUAACCUGUUCACUGUACUCAUUUGAGUACGUGGCAAUAAAACUAAAUCAAUUCA